GCGGAGCUUUUGCAAGGGAUUUAUAGGUCAGAUAGCUCAGCAGUUUCAGCUUGUUGCCCACCGUAUCUUAACAAAGCUUGUGCGUGUUUGUACAGCUGGACUAGUAGCUGUGGGAGUCCCGGGAAUCCCACAAGCCUCUGUCCCUUACCUCCCUUUGCCAUUUACCAGCACACAAACACACAGAACGAAACUGUCUGACUAGCAGGUUAAAGGCCCACAAUUCAAGCCCUGUUUAUUUUCUUUCCUUGAUUUCCUGCUGCUACACAGGAAUCAAACUCAAGACCUCGUGUUUGUCAGGUAUGCAUCAUUGUAAGAAAGGAACUAUUUGCAUUAGGUUAUGGAAUCAUUUGUGUAUCUUCAUGAAAGGAAAAUAAAACUGACAGUCUUGCAACCCAGGAAGCAUACGUGUUUUAGCAACAGUAAAGCUAAUAUCCAAGUCUGAAGACCACUGGAUGGGAGGAAUUCUCUCUAACACAGGGGAGGGUCAACAUUUUUUGUUCUAUUCAAACUUUCAACUGAGUAGAUGAAAUUUCAUCCAUCUUAUGGAGAGCAGCCUUCUUUAUUUAGUCUACCAAGUUAAAUGUUAACUUCACUCAUAAAAGCCUUACAGAAGAACCCCAAAUAAACUUUGACCAAAUAUCUGUACAACCAGUUGACAAAAUAUUACAAGCCCAUAUUUGUUUGUUUUUGUUAUUAUUUUAUGAGUAAGAAAAAUAUUAUUGAAAAUUAUUUUGCUCAUUUCUUGAUGAGGUCUCAAUCUCUUUUCUAAUAAAGUGUGAGCUAACCAAACAUUGAAGAAUAUGGCUUUAUAUGGUUGCCAAAUUGUUUGCUUGCCUGGAGUGCCUGCAGACCUUAGGCUGGCCCUGGUCCUGAGCUGUGUGCCUGUGGCUCUCAGCACCUUGAGGGAGUGAGAAAUCCUUUUCUUUAGAGGAGAACCACUUGGUAUAGAAACCAGGGUUUCUUUCACAUGACCUCAUUGUGGAACUCAGUGUUAAAACAGCAAUAGACAUCUCUGAGGCUACUUAAUAGCAUGGUAGCACGUGAAACAUCUCUUUUUGAUUGUGGUGUACAAAAAUUGUAACAUGGUUGCUGAUUUUAUAUGGUGAACCAAUAUGUGAACCAGUAAGUGAAUUCUUAUAAUUCACUUAUGCGUUUGCAUAAUAAUAAGACGGUCCAAAGAGCAGGUUGAAUAAGCCACAUCCUGACUUAAAAAAAAAAAAAAAAAAAAAAAAAAGUAUUCCAGGAUGAUGUUUUCAGUUGAAAUUGCCACUGAAACCUGAAUGCAUGAGAGAUGCAUAGGCAAAAGAGGUUUCAGUUCUGGUUCAAAGAAGAAUGAUCUAAAUUUGGUGAAGACUGGUCUUCAUAAUUAUAUAUUUUUAUUUCUUUUAAGAACAAUGAGGUAUGAGAUCCUAUUAGAAGAUUCAAGAGACAUUUUUUUAAAAAAUGCCUUUGUCUAAAGAAUGUGUAGUUUGAUGUGACUAUACGGCCAAUAUGAGGUAGCCAGACUAAAGGACCAAGCAGUGGCUGCGCCAGUGAGGUUUGUAUAUGAAGAGACAAAAUGUGAACCUUGUUUUCUGCCGUUACAAACCCAGCAUUGAACAGGUGAGUGAUGUAGUUGAUGGUUUUUGGAAAAAGUGACAACAGUGAUAGGAUAGGUGAGGGUUAGAACAGAAGUUUAAAAAGACGUAAUAUUAAAAUGAUCCUGACUCCUCAUCUGUGUGAUUUAAAAUAAUGUACAAAGCAUAAACAAAUGGUGGAAUAAAAAUAUGUAACAUAUAACUGACAUGUCACAACUGCUUCCCAAGAGUAUGAUUUCAAAAUUAUGCAUAAAUUCGUUAAACCUAAGUUUUUCCUCACAUUUUACAUUGUGUUUGCUCUACUGAUUCCUUAAGAGCAUGAUUUAUUGCCCAAUAGUAGUUUAACUGGCACUCAGAAAAAUUUGAUUACAGCAAUAAGCAGCCGGAAAUUCUAGAAGACUGAAGAAACUUUGUGAAUGGUAAAGGAGAGGACUGGGAAUUUGCAAGUUUCUGGCUUUAAAAUCAUGGAUAGAUUCAAAUAGCACAUCUACAAUGCAGAUUGACUCUUUUGUUUGUUUGUUUUUCUUGGUAUCAGGGAUUGAACUCACAACCUCAUGUUUGCCAGAAAUGGUGAACAAAAGUACUGUAAAGCUUCCUGUGUGCACUUAGAACACAGUGUGAAAAAAGCAUAACAACACACACACAGCAGAUAUUACCGUGUCAAAUUUUAUGGGGAUCCCUGUAUAAUUAAGAAGGAAUACAACUCUUGGAGACAAAAGAUGGAGGAAAAUGUUAUCCCAGAAGCUUUCUGAAGAAGCAUACAAUUGCAGGCCUGGAUUUGACAAUGAAAACUAUCAUUUCUCCCUCUCCCCAACCAUCAUCACCAAGAGAAGAACAUUGCACAUUAAACUUUAGAAAAUCCAUGUGUAUAUCUACUACAGAAAUGUAUCCUGCUCUUCAGAACAAAGGUUCUCAUUUGUGGGCAGGUAAAAUGAAAAGGAAAAGGUGAAUCUAAUCGUGAACUGAAAGCCAAGGCCCAGCAAUUAAGCAAGGCAAACAAAAGCAACUUCCUGCUCCUCUGUCCAGACCCUUCCUCUUCAUCUCAUUCACCCUCAGUGUAAGUUUUAAAGAGAAAACAACAUUCAAACCUUUGUGGACCGAGGCUGCUGUCCUUUGCAAACCGAGCAUACCUGUACUUAGAUUACUGACCAUUUCUCUAGCAGGCCAUUUCAUCCUCACUGAGGGAGAUAGAAAUGUGGGAGACCAAUGAAACUUUGUCAGGAAUUUUGGAAUAAAUUAUUAAUAUUUGGAAAUUUAAAGUGAAUUUUUCAAUAAAUAUUGAUUCUCGCGUAUAGUACAACUCAUUGUGACUUAGCAUGUGGAAGGAAAGGAGGGAGCCUUGGAAGAAGGAACAUAGAGAAAUAGAGAAAAAGAGAAGAAAGGAGAAAAAUAUGAGUAUGCUAUAUCCUGAAAUAUUUAUCAAGAAAUAGUUUGUGGCAGUAUGUGUCUCUCUCUAUAAAGUGUUUUAUUUUUUCUCAAGCUAGUAUAGGUUGUAUUCAAUGCUCACGACUUUUGCUUUUUGUAAAACAGACCUAUAUUUAUGUUCUGAAUAUGAAGUAGGUUUCCUAUAAGGUCCAUAACUAGAAAAAUCUGUAUCAGAAGUGUAUGUAUAAAUUAGGAGUGAUAAUUUAAGGAAGUAAAAUGUAUAUCCUGAAAUGCUGGUAGCUGGAAAACAUAAAGAUACCUUUUACAUAACUUGGUUAAGUAUCUCUCUAGACUUCUUAAUAUACCCUCAUACCAUGUUGCAGAAAUACAAGUCAAAGGACCAUAUUGGCCUUCUUUCUUUCUUCUUUCUCUCUCUCUCUCUCUCUCUCUCUCUCUCUCUCUCUCUCUCUCUCUCCUUUUCUAUACCAGAGCUUUAACUGAUGACCUCACACUUGCCAGGAAGGUGCUUACACCGCUACUAAGCUAAAUCCCCAGCCAUUGGCUAUCAUUUUAGUUGUAACAGUUUUAACUUUAUUGCCCUUGAGUCUUGCCUUCUGCCUCACUCCAAGGUGUAUUACCUCCUCUGUGAAAUAUUAUUCUUUGUAGUGAAUAAUCUCUGAGAUGAGACUGGAAUACAUGCUGUUCUCCUUCCUUUUCUUCUGAAGGCAUUAUCUUCCUUGUUAAUUUUUUGAACACGUGCUACAAGAAUUUGUAGAGCAAAACUGAGUUUUGCUAAGAAUAUAGUGUGAAGAAUCUUGACAGUGAGGUUAGAACUGGAGUGGCAAAGAUGCUAACCUGUGUGGGACGCAUGGUUGAGCUGUGAGAGCUUGUGGUUUGAUGAAGAGAUACCGUUUUAAGUGAAAUGCCAGUGGGCUGCUCUUUCCCUAUCCCAACAUGAAAUUCCAUAAAGAUUCAAAAUAAUAUACUAAAUGCAUUUGUGCUGCUUAUGAAAGGGUGAAGGGAGUUAUAUUUCAGGUUGAAAUUAGCAUUGGCUGAAAAAUAGUGGCAGGUCCACUUGACAACAAGGUGUUAUUAUUCUGAAUUUAAAGUUCUUAGGAAGAUUAUACAGGAAACUUCCUCUACCUCCUCUCAGCUUCAGAAGUUUCCUGCCAUGUACAUUUACAGGACAGAAGCAUCUCAGGUUAAAAAUGUUCUGGGAAAAAACUUGGACAAAUAAGUGUAUCAGGGGCAUAGCAAAGAUGCAGGCAAUGAUUGGUGUUACCUAACGUUUCUUAAAUUGCAUUUAGCUUCACGUUUCAGUUGUGGGUUUUCACUCCAAGCAAAGGCUGUGAAUCUACCUGCAUUGUACCACUUGUUACAUUUCUUUGGCCAGAAAAAUCAAGAUGGAAUGUAAUCCUGAAUUGUUUAAAGUUUGCCAGCAGCCCUUGGUAAAACAACCAUUCUCAAAAGUCACAUCUCCUGUGUUGUCCUGGUUUUAAAUAAAACAGAAACUACUUUGUUAAAAUGAAUUGCAGACACAAAGGAAAACCGUACCCUGAGUCUCCAGUCAGGUGAAAAAAAGUCACUGGCACUUUGUCCAUGGAUCUACAGCAGAGUUUUUGGAGCCAGGAGCUCACACAAUGCUCCCUGCCUGCUGACUGAUGGCAGAUAUGGCCUCUGGUUGGAAAUAAUCGUUUUUAAUAAUGCAGAUCAUCACAAGAGCUCGUGGGAAAUCACUCUAAAUAUUACCCUUGGACUUUGGUAUAGAAAUAUAGCAAAGGGAAAUUGUCCCUAUGAUGCUCAAGGGUUAGAAUAAUAUGGAAAAACCAACUCAGUUCAAAUAAUUUAUUGUCUCUGCCAUGCUUUUUGCAUAGCACAGCUUAAGCUGUCAUUCACUGAAGGGCUAUUUAUACAAUCUGAAAUUCCAAAGGAUUCCUGGAUUUGUGUUCUUCUACUCUUUUUAAAUGAUGCAUAAUAAGGUACUCUACAGAGGUCUUUUGUAAUGAAUGUGGAAUUGUUUAGUUUGGGCCCCUUCAAAGGGAUGGAAGAACAGUAACUGGCUGUUUGAAAUUUUAUAUUAUAGAAACUAUACUCGGCCGCUACUUGAAUUUGUUAGCAUCUUUAAAAUAAACUCUAUCCCCAGACAAAACCAAAUCAAUCUUUGUAUUCUUGACAUUUCACUGUAAGGGCCAAUAAGAGGUAUGAAUAGAAACCCCAAGAAAUAAAGGGCGUAGUUGUCCUAGAUGAGUAUUUUAAAAGAAAUGUGCCAAUGGUUGUUGAUGGUGUUUCUUUUUAAAAGUGGUCGAGUGUUUCUUGGCUUCUUGGACCUGAUCAUAAAGCUGGCUUCCUAGCAAGGCUUGGCAGAGUUCAGAUAUAAGUCAGAGAGUUAUUCAGAUACCUGUUAGACAUCUCAAACUAGUGUCUCACAAGAACUCCAGCUCAACACGCUCAGCCUCCCCCAUCCCUCACUUCCCCCAGUACAACCAUCUGCUGUUUUUCCUUCAUUCUUUGUCUCAGUAAUUGGCAAAUGAUUUGCCAAGUAUCUGAAACUUAAGAGUGUAGUGAGAGAAGUUAUACGAUGUAAAAGGGAGAUGUUUAGGCCAAUUUGGGAUACGUUCACCAUAUUUUAAAACUACGAUCCAUAAAAUCAGUGGGUCAUACCAAUGUUAGUAUACUGGGUGUGUUAUUGUGCAAAGGUUUUCCAAGAUGUUAUAUUUUACUAAAACUGGGUACAAGUACAUAGGAUAUCUGUAUCUUUUCUUAUAAUUUUAUAUGAAUUUAUAAUUAUCUUAUAAUUUAAAGUAUUUUGAACCUCAAGAUCUCUCUUGACUUUUGUAUGAAAAUACAGGUCAAGAAGAUUCAUUAUGUGCAAAUUCUGUUUUUAGCAUAUUAGAGACAUAUGCAUAAAACAAUAUAGCUGGAACAAAAUAUUUUUCUAAGUUCUAGUAUUUUUGGUAAUUUGAAAUGUUGAAUGAAUAAAUUGGAAGUGCUUUUAUUAGUUAAUAGUGAUAGGUUGUUAAAACCCUCUGCCACAACAUAGGCUCAGGCAGGGUGACAUACAUAAGAACUCUUGCAUGGCUAAGCUUGCACUUAGAAGUUUCCUCAUUUUACAUGCAGCUUUAUCACUGAGAGAUGAUUACCCCCCUCUCCUGAAAUGCAGUAUGAUACUUCUAAUUACAUGUGACUUACUUUGUACCUCACAUUUCUUAAGGGGUACUGGAGAUUAAUGAUGAUUUAUUUAUGGCUAUGAAAUGCGAUUAAUGACCUAUCUGACAAUCAUUUGCACAGUUUGUGUCUGCUGAAUUCUGGUGUUAUCUUCAAGGCCAUCUGAAGACCUCAAAAUGUAAGGAGAAAUUGAGGACUGUAUGUCUGUUUCUUUCUGUGUAACUUUUGGGAUUGUAGCUUGUUAAAAACAGAUGAAGAAAUCAGGAUCGAGGUCAACUUUACAGAAAAGAAACUCUCUGUCUAAAAAAGUCUGGCCACACUCCCAGAAGAAAAUUUUGACCUUCCAUAAUUUCUUAACCAAUUGCUUACUUAAAGGAUGUAAUCUAAGUAUGAUGUUAAAAUUUUAGUUGCCACCACUAAAUUUCCAAGUUUACAAAAUUUUCAAAACACAUACAGAAUAUUUAUGUGGGCUUUGGGUCCUUGAGUUAAAAGUUCAUCUACCAGUUUUUGUAGUUAAAUAUAAAAAAAUCUCAAAAGUACACUUUUGGUUAUUUAAACACAAAGACAGACCUAAUCAUAUACGGGACAUAUAAAAUUAGAAAACCUUUCCUUUCUGUCAUCCUGGUCUACUCUUUGGAUUCAUUGGCAUCAAAGCUUUUGAUUUUUGCCCCCUCUGUUCAUGAGAGGAUAUAUUUAUUCCCUGGAAAGCUUAAUCUGUGAUCAAUUAUAUUUAACAAGUUAACUCAAUUGUAAAUGAUAUGAUAUAAAUGAAGAUUAAAGCUAAUUUAAGGCAGCAUUUUUUUUACUACUGUAUAAAUUAGCAUUGGAAGAAUCAGAAGGAGCUAUGUUUUUGAUUAAGCUUUGGUUUAGGCUGAAGGGUUUCAAUAAGACCAUUUUUAUAAAAUUCUGAACUGGAGCCAAUACCUGCUAAAAGAUAACAGGAUAUAUUAAAGCCAUGUCAGAAGUUUAUAAAUAAAGGCCCUGAAAACCUUUAAUCAGGAAAUGAACUGUGUGUAUGGAUUGUUAAGCCUGUCCAUCUCCCACAAUCCAGUCAUGGCCAUUUCUGUCUAUGCUACUUCCAUUACUCUGGGUCAGAUUAUACAGCAUAAUCCUCUGAAGUCAAUAAACUGCUCUUCUGGCUAGCAUCUCUUACAGAGUUCACUUCCCCUUAAAAAUUCCCAAUUAGUUUUCAUGUUAAGAUCAAACUGAAAGUUCAAUACUGAUCAUGGCCAGUUUUGAGACCUAAUACUCACUAUUGGAUCACUGCUGGCCUUGAGGUAGGGAUCCCUGAUGCAAAAUAUACUAGUUUCUUUCUCAAUUAUUUUGAGGUGAAGGAUGGUGUCACCCUAACCACUUUCUCCUUAGUGAUUUUCAGUGAGGCAUUCUAUGCUUCAUGAAUCUGCUGAGAUUUUUCGUUUUCUCCUAGUCUAAGCUAUAUUUUUAGACAGGUAAUGAAACAGUUUCUCUGUGUCUGCCUUACCUGUGGUGUAACUUGUAAAAGUGGCUCAAUUCAUGGUUACAAUUGGAGAUUCUCCUGGGUUCUGGAUCACAGCUUGCUCAUCUGUUUUCCCAGUAAGUAAGAAAGCUCCCUUAGGUCAGGAUUUGGGUAUUGUUCACCAUUAUAUCUCUCUGUUUUGUAAGAUUUAAAGAUUGUUUUGAUGGUGGAGUAAUACACAGUGGAAAUCUGAUAGGUGAAAGACAGUAUGGUUUGUUACUUUCUGUUCCAAAGGAGAGGAGGCUUCCCUGCAGGAUCACAUGGACAGUUGCCACCUGGGACAGACUAACAUCAUGCAGGAGCUCUUAGGGCAGCUUAUACUGUCCAGGUGGGGUUUGCAGGGAGCUUGCAGAUUCUGUAUAAUUGACUAAUUCAAAUAAUUUUGCUGUCUCCAGAGAAUACAUGCUGCCUCUUCUUGUCUGAUAAUCUAGUUCUGGAGUAAUUAGCAAGAUGUCUGUUCACCCUGGAAGAUAAGAGCCUGCUACAGGCUGUACCUGAGGUAUAGGUAUAAUUAGUCGAUCAAAGAAGGAAUCUGUCUUCAGCUUGGACUUUAAACCCGAGGGAAGGAAUUUCAAAGUAAAUGCUAUGUUAUAGCUAUAAAUGAGAGAUAGGCGAUUCUUAGCCAUGAUAAACUACAAGUACUUCAUCACAUCACUAAUGGUCUCAAAUUGCAUACGGCUAAUCAGGUCCCCUGUGUGGGAGCGGAUGAAGGAGCAAUAUAGUCAAAAUCAAAAACAGUAGAGCAGACACAGGAGAAUCAGACAUUCACCAUGAAGAAACAAUGCAUCCAACUUCAGAUUGUCACUUCUCUUUCAUUCUUCACUGCAAUCAUCCUUGAGAAGAAAUUUUGCAAUAAUCUCAAAGAACUUGCAAGUUUUUAUUCCUGUGUUUUGAAAUUGUCAUCCUCAAGUUCAAUUUAAACGUUGUGAUUCUUUUCUUAUGAUUUACUGCAAACAAUACCGGUCUCCUGCGUAACUUCAGUACAACCAUCAAAACCAGAAAAUUAACACUGAUACAUUAUUAUCAACUCAUCUUCAAACCCCGCUCACGUUUCACAGGUUUUUAUAGCUAAGGACUGGUCAGAAUCGUGGCUCAAAAUUUCAGUUGCUUCCACUACGAAAGACAUUAACUUCCAUCGCCCCAUUGAAGCUAACCGGCUGCACUGGUUUCUACUUCCACAGCCUGAGUUGGCUCCUUGUUUUGCUUCAGCUGACAUCUUACAUCUUACCAUCCUUCCUAGCACUGAAGUUCUCUGUAAGGCAUGAGAAAGGAAGGAAAGACACGGCAGGACCACACAAAAGAAGAAGGAAAACAAACACAUGCUAAAGGAGAAAUUUAUACUACCAUAUCAAUGAAUGAAGAAAAACAUUGGAAGAAAUUCAGCAAAGGCUUGUUAAGAACUCUCAGCAACUGUCAUAUAUGUAAAGUUAAUUAAUUAAUGAUCAGUAUGUAGCACCCAGCUGAACUGAAUCAGUGUAGCUCUGGGGGAGGGGCGGGGGAAGGCUGAGGAUUGUUGCCAAUAGUUUAAAAGAAGAACAGGAGGGGAAGAUGGUACGUGGAUUCUCCAGGAGAAGCCUGUCAUGCUGGUUUUCCUGAUCUGAACUCAGCUGUUCUCAUUACUGGAGAUGCACCUCACUGUCACUGAGGAUGACUGCAUUUUCUACGGGAGAGCUCUGGUCUUUACCUGGAUCGUCACUUCCUGGCUCCAGUGCAGAACACUCAGCCUGCUGGCACAGACUUUCUAGCUUCCACCUCUGGCCUUUGGGUCUUCCCAGUGCAGAUUCUUGAUACAGACUUGAAUGAGCCAUUGUUUGUGGACUCUAGGCCUCCAGCUGGAUUCAUGGAGGAUGUUUUUCUUAGCUGGGUUCUUUGAGUCUCUAGUGCAUGGGCAAAUCUUUUUUGUUCUUUUGUAUUUGACUUUUUGAUUGACUUAUAAAAUAAUCCUCUAAUGAUGUGUCCUAUAUUAAAUCAAUUCCCUUGCAAAAACUGACUACAAACA